AGCCUUGUGUAUCCGUGCUGAGAUUUCAUUACACACCAGACCACCAAGUCUGAUGAAACUCCCAAGAUAAGUGAAGCG
rnacentral:pre_miRNA from 1 species